GUUAAUAACCGUUAGCUUUGGCCCCGGGGCUUCCCCGCUUUUUUAUUUGAUAUUAUUACGAUAAUUUAUUUGGGCAAUAAAUUUGGCAAAGAAAAAUGCAUUUACAUUUCCCUUUGUGCCAUAAUUUCCAACUGCCACUCCCCUCCGCCGGGGCGAAGUUACGAGAUUACGAGGGGUUAACCCACUCACAGCCAGAUCGAAGCGAAUCGAUGCGAAUCGUCGAUUCGGUGCGAAACUAUUUCCGCCAUAACUCUCUAUUAAAAGCUCAUUUGAAUCCUCAACUUUGCCAUGACUCAUUGAAAAGCGAGUAAACAGAAGGAGCUGGGAAAAAGUGCGAUUGAAAAUGAGCUUCGGUCGUAAAUUUUCAAUGAGGGUUUCCACACAAUUGCAGUUGGAUGCAUUUUUACGAUUAUCACAUUAUUAAUAUUAUUACUAGGGAUAUUUCAUGGCCUCCUAGCACACCGACGAAGCUAUUUUCAGAAGCAGAAGAAUCAAGAAAACACGAAGGAAAAUUAACUUGGGGAAUCCGGAGUUCGAAUCCUCUUUCAGUUUGGUCCCAACAGAUGCAAAAUUUUCAAUUGUUACAUUUACAACUGUAGUCAAUUUAUACCUCUUAUAAAAUUUAUAAACACCUUUGCAGUUAUGUUAAGAAAACAAUAACGAUAUUUCUAUUCCGAUACAUUUUCAAACUGUAAUGAGCACACUUGGACUUCUAUCCAAAGAGACUGGGCUAGAUCCACUCGGCUGUUGACGCAACUAAAGCUUCAUACUAAGGACCUGGAGUAAGAGUAUCAACUACUCUCUCCGGCUUUUUUCUGCUGCCCGGUUCCGGCACUGUUGACACGCUAAUUUAAGCGCGGGCAAACAACGUAAACGUAAAUGGUUCGGAGUUGGAAUGCCGUAAUAAAUCAUAAAACAAAACUGAACGGUCCCAAUAAUAAAGAACGAAAGAGAGAACUCUGUAUUGCAAUGUGAUCGAGCAUUUGUUUGCAGUGUUGUGUUCUAUUUGCGAAAUGAAAAUCGCAUUUUUUCUGUUGCAUUGGAUUUCUGUGGUAUAUCAGUGGUGACAUAUGGUGGCGAAUAUCCUUGGACUUCGUGACGAAUCAAACAAAUACCAAAUUACGUGAACAAAUUACUUGCGUCAAAAACCAAAGUCAAACUAUAAAAAAUCAGUAGUUUUUAUGUGAGAACUGUGAGAACAAUAAACGUGAACUAAAAGGAA